AUUGAACGCUGGCGGCAGGCUUAACACAUGCAAGUCGAGCGAGCGGCGGACGGGUGAGUAAUGUCUGGGAAACUGCCUGAUGGAGGGGGAUAACUACUGGAAACGGUAGCUAAUACCGCAUACCAUCAGAUGUGCCCAGAUGGGAUUAGCUAGUAGGUGGGGUAAUGGCUAACCCAGGCGACGAUCCCUAGCUGGUCUGAGAGGAUGACAAGCCACACUGGAACGGAGACACGGCCCAGACUCCUACGGGAGGCAGCAGUGGGGAAUAUUGCUCAAUGGGCGCAAGCCUGACGCAGCCAUGCCGCGUGUGUGAAGAAGGCCUUCGGGUUGUAAAGCACGUUCAGCGAGGAGGCGUUACACACAGAAGAAGCACCGGCUAACUCCGUGCCAGCAGCCGCGGUAAUUC
rnacentral:rRNA from 1 species